AACGAACGCUGGCGGCAGGCCUAACACAUGCAAGUCGAGCGAGGACUUCGGUUCUAGCGGCGGACGGGUGAGUAACGCGUGGGAAUGUGCCCUUCUCUACGGAAUAGCCCUGGGAAACUGGGAGUAAUACUGUAUACGCCCUAUUGGGGAAAGAUUUAUCGGAGAAGGAUCAGCCCGCGUUGGAUUAGGUAGUUGGUGGGGUAAUGGCCUACCAAGCCGACGAUCCAUAGCUGGUUUGAGAGGAUGAUCAGCCACACUGGGACUGAGACACGGCCCAGACUCCUACGGGAGGCAGCAGUGGGGAAUCUUAGACAAUGGGGGCAACCCUGAUCUAGCCAUGCCGCGUGAGUGAUGAAGGCCUUAGGGUUGUAAAGCUCUUUCAGCUGGGAAGAUAAUGACGGUACCAGCAGAAGAAGCCCCGGCUAACUCCGUG
rnacentral:rRNA from 1 species